rnacentral:lncRNA from 1 species
CCUCUCCUUCCUCCCUCUCCCUCUCCUUCUGGUCUUUCUUACUGUCAUUUUGGAAAGGAAACCGAUCAUGGCAGAACUAAGAGAUUACAGCUGGAGCCAGGAACUUAAGUCAGUCACGAGACUACUUCUGGGAGAGUGAGCCGCUGUCCCCUACUUCAAGCCACUUGUACCUCUGAUCCACACCCAAGCACCACACCAAAGCAAGAAGGAUGAGCUUCAGUUUCGAAGGCGCCAGCCACAAAUGAGAAAGUCACCUGGCCCGCAAAAUAAAUUCCUGUCAAAGCACUUAUGAGGCAAGAGUAAACUUGAUUCCGUUUGAACUAGAGCACAGGAGGGUAAAUAAAUUGUGGAAUUGAGCAUCUUUAUGCAGAGAGUCAGAGUCCCGGAGAUGUGAAUUUAUUUUCUUUGCCACUCAGGGGAGCCAGAGACUCAUGAACAUCACACUCAAGCUGCCAAAGAGGCAGAGAAGCAGUGUUUCUCUUUGGACUUAGUCACUGGUGACAAAAACCCAAGCAAACAAAGAAACAGAAGCAAGAUGCAACAAUAACAACCACAGCAAAAAACAACGACAAUAGGAAUGGGCAUUGAUUGUUAUGCCCAGAGGUUGGAGAGAACACUUGGUUUAGCCUCAGCCUUGUUUCCCCAGGGGCUCAGGGCUUGCUCAGUCUCUCUGUGUGUCCAUUUCUUGGCUGAGGUAUACUCUGCUGGUUUCAUUCCGAGGAGCACCUGAGGAACAUGAAUUUUACAGCCUUGAAGACAGGGGCAAGCAUGUGUCACCUGCUUCCCCUCGUGUCACAAGGACACCUGGUGCAUGCACGGGUAGGAAUGUUAACCUCAGAGGACCUCAGGAACCCUGCCAAAUGGUUUGGAGUGGUGCCACAGAGAGAGAGAGAGAGAGAGAGAGAGAGAGAGAGAGAGAGAGAGAGAUCCAGGGUUGUUGACUGGGUGAAGUGAUAACAUCUCAGUCCACUGCCUGAGUACCAAGCCUGUGUUUUCAGAACCUCUCAAGAGCCCUCAUAAAUAGACGCCUUCCAUUGAGAAGGCAAGGCUGAAUCCACCACAGGCUUCAAAUAGCAAGCAGUUAAGGAGACUAGGUCUAAAAACCCACUUCAUGCAGCUAGUCAGAAACUGCCCCACCACCUGGCCUGAAACAAGGAUAAUGGGUCA